rnacentral:rRNA from 1 species
AUUGAACGCUGGCGGCAGGCCUAACACAUGCAAGUCGAACGAGUGGCGGACGGGUGAGUAAUGUCUGGGAAACUGCCUGAUGGAGGGGGAUAACUACUGGAAACGGUAGCUAAUACCGCAUACCAUCAGAUGUGCCCAGAUGGGAUUAGCCAGUUGGGGGGGAAACGGCUCACCAAGGCGACGAGCCCUAGCUGGUCUGAGAGGAGGACCAGCCACACUGGAACUGGGAGACGGUCCAGACUCCUACGGGAGGCAGCAGUGGUGAAUAUUGCACAAUGGGCGCAAGCUUGAUGCAGCCAUGCCGCGUGUAUGAAGAAGGCCUUCGUGUUGUAAAGUACUUUCAGCGGGGAGGCGUUACCCGCAGAAGAAGCACCGGCUAACUCCGUGCCAGCAGCCGCGGUAAUUC